rnacentral:rRNA from 1 species
GACGAACGCUGGCGGCGUGCUUAACACAUGCAAGUCGAACGGAAAGGCCCUGCUUUUGUGGGGUGCUCGAGUGGCGAACGGGUGAGUAACACGUGAGUAACCUGCCCUUGACUUUGGGAUAACUUCAGGAAACUGGGGCUAAUACCGGAUAGGAGCUCCUGCUGCAGGGUGGGGGUGGGAAAGUUUCGGCGGUGGGGGAUGGACUCGCGGCUUAUCAGCUUGUGGGGGGGGUAGUGGCUUACCAAGGCUUUGACGGGUAGCCGGCCUGAGAGGGUGACCGGCCACAUUGGGACUGAGAUACGGCCCAGACUCCUACGGGAGGCAGCAGUGGGGAAUAUUGCACAAUGGGCGGAAGCCUGAUGCAGCAACGCCGCGUGCGGGAUGACGGCCUUCGGGUUGUAAACCGCUUUCGCCUGUGACGAAGCGUGAGUGACGGUAAUGGGUAAAGAAGCACCGGCUAACUACGUG